rnacentral:rRNA from 1 species
UUUUCGUUGCUUUGCGAGGAGACACUAUACUGCUGGACCAGCGCUUAAUUGCGCGGUUUGGUGGGUCUCUGCAGCUCAGUAGCACUAUUACACACAGUGGAGAUUUUUAUAAUUCUUUGCAUGCUUCUUUGGGCUGCUUCGGCGGCCCAGGAGUGACAAACACAAACAAUUUUGUAAUUUUAUGAACUAGUCAAAACCAGAAUUCCAGGAAGAUUUAUCUUUUUGUAAUAUUAAAACAAAUAUUAAAACUUUCAACAACGGAUCUCUUGGUUCUCGCAUCGAUGAAGAACGCAGCGAAAUGCGAUACGUAAUGUGAAUUGCAGAAUUCCGUGAAUCAUCGAAUCUUUGAACGCACAUUGCGCCCUCUGGUAUUCCAGGGGGCAUGCCUGUUUGAGCGUCAUUUCCUUCUCAAACAGCAAUGUUUGGUUGUGAGUGAUACUCUUUCGGAGUUAGCUUGAAAUUGCUGGCCGAUGGCUGUUGUGGUUGAGUGUCUCCCUUCGGGGAGAGCGCUUGCUGCGUUAAGGGACGUCCUGCUGGACAUCUUCGUAUUAGGUUCUACCAACUUCGAAGACGGUUAGCGGGGAGUUCUGCAGUGAGUGUAGUGCUUUUACUACGUUGCACCAUGGCGAACAGUGUUCUUUUAAGUUUGACCUCAAAUCAGGUAGGAUUACCCGCUGAACUUAAGCAUAUCAAUAAGCGGAGGAAAAGAAACCAACCGGGAUUGCCUUAGUAACGGCGAGUGAAGCGGCAAAAGCUCAAAUUUGAAAUCUAGUACCUUCGGUGCUCGAGUUGUAAUUUGUAGAGGGAUACUUUGGGGCCGUUCCUUGUCUAUGUUCCUUGGAACAGGACGUCAUAGAGGGUGAGAAUCCCGUGUGGCGAGGAGUGCGGUUCUAUGUAAAGUGCCUUCGAAGAGUCGAGUUGUUUGGGAAUGCAGCUCUAAGUGGGUGGUAAAUUCCAUCUAAAGCUAAAUAUUGGCGAGAGACCGAUAGCGAACAAGUACAGUGAUGGAAAGAUGAAAAGAACUUUGAAAAGAGAGUGAAAAAGUACGUGAAAUUGUUGAAAGGGAAGGGCAUUUGAUCAGACAUGGUGUUUUGCGCCCUCUGCUCCUUGUGGGUGGGGGACUCUCGCAGCUCACUGGGCCAACAUCAGUUUUGGUGGUCGGACAAAUCCGUAGGAAUGUAGCUUACCUCGGUAAGUGUUAUAGCCUGCGGGAAUACGGCCAGCCGGGACUGAGGACUGCGAC